CAGCAGUCGCCGCGGUAAUACGAAGGGGGCUAGCGUUGCUCGGAAUGACUGGGCGUAAAGGGCGCGUAGGCGGCGGCCAAAGUCAGGCGUGAAAUUCCCGGGCUCAACCUGGGGGCUGCGUUUGAUACUUGGUUGCUUGAGUGGGGAAGAGGGUCGUGGAAUUCCCAGUGUAGAGGUGAAAUUCGUAGAUAUUGGGAAGAACACCAGUGGCGAAGGCGGCUCACUGGACCGACACUGACGCUGAGGCGCGAAAGCGUGGGGAGCAAACAGGAUUAGAUACCCCCGUAGUCCCUGUCUCUUAUAC
rnacentral:rRNA from 1 species